UCGAACGGUAACGACGGAAGCUUGCUUCCGGGCGACGAGUGGCGGACGGGUGAGUAAUACUUAGGAAUCUGCCCAGUAGUGGGGGACAACAUUCGGAAACGGAUGCUAAUACCGCAUACGCCCUAAGGGGGAAAGCGGGGGAUCUUCGGACCUCGCGCUAUUGGAUGAGCCUAAGUCGGAUUAGCUUGUUGGUGAGGUAAAGGCUCACCAAGGCGACGAUCCGUAGCUGGUCCGAGAGGACGAUCAGCCACACUGGGACUGAGACACGGCCCAGACUCCUACGGGAGGCAGCAGUGGGGAAUAUUGGACAAUGGGCGCAAGCCUGAUCCAGCAAUGCCGCGUGUGUGAAGAAGGCCUGCGGGUUGUAAAGCACUUUCAGUAGAGAAGAAAAGCCUAGGGUUAAUAUCCCUGAGUCUUGACGUUACCUACAGAAGAAGCACCGGCUAACUCCGUGCCAGCAGCCGCGGUAAUACGGAGGGUGCGAGCGUUAAUCGGAAUUACUGGGCGUAAAGCGCGCGUAGGCGGUUUUGUAAGUCGGAUGUGAAAGCCCUGGGCUUAACCUGGGAAUUGCAUUCGAUACUGCAUAACUAGAGUACGGUAGAGGGAAGUGGAAUUCCGGGUGUAGCGGUGAAAUGCGUAGAUAUCCGGAGGAACACCAGUGGCGAA
rnacentral:rRNA from 1 species